AUAGGAUCUAGACCUGGCAUAUCUUCAUACGACCAUGCAAAAAUAUCCGGAUAUUCCCGGAGGAGUUGGAUGAUCUUCUUUUUAACCCCUUCCUCUAGAGCAGCACCGAUCUUGAUCUCUUGCUUGUUUUCCUCGGUACCUAUGUUGAUAAGCUCAAUCUCUUCCUGG
rfam:Medicago truncatula strain A17 chromosome 7, whole genome shotgun sequence.